AUGACUACUUUUAAAGAUGCUUUGAAGAUAACCUAUCCACUUUCAUUGCCAAAGGCUACUACUCCUUCUGAAAUACUUGUCGCACUUCAGUUGAUACCAGAUUUGGCAUAAGCUGACAUGUUGCGCUCUUAUGGGAAGUUGAUUCUUAAUGAGUGUUUGUUUGAAGCUCUAAUGGAGUUUCCCAUGCAAAUGAGGAAGACUUGGCUCCUAUUGUUUCCUUGA
rnacentral:rRNA from 1 species